CUCGCUAGGAAUGAUCUGUGGGUACAGCGGGGCGUUCUUAAGAGCACUAGUAUUGUGCACAGUGGCUGGAGGCGUGUGACCACCCAGAGCCACAGGACCACAUCUUGGGUCACUUGGGGAAUGCGUCAGCCAGGCCUUGGCCGGAAACGCCCAGGCUCGAGACGGGGACACUCCUAAGAACGCUCCAGGCAAGGCUGGAUUUCUCGGAAAGACCGGCCUACCGCCGGCUGCAUAGCAUCUUGCACCGAGCACCUUGCAAAGUGCUGAGUAACGGUGACUAGGAAGUAACCGUGCACACCCUCACCUCCUUUCCGGAUUUUACCGCUACAGCUCUCUUCUGCCUUCCCUUCCCCUAUUCUUUGACUUUCACGGGUGAACCCGCAGCUCCACAGUGACACAGCAGUUUAACGCAGUGUGGUCCAGAUGGCUGGGAGACUGACUGGGCUCUAGACCCAGGACAACUGGUUGUGAGAUAUAUCGUUUUGUAUACUGGUGAACCCUGGGAAUUCUGUGGAAAUCUUGCUUCCAGCCCAAGAUGCAGAACGUAGAAAAAUGUCUGAAUGCAGUAUGGUAAUUAUUGAGAAUGGAGCAGCAACCAAUGGAUUCAUUUCUCUGAAGCCUAUUCCACAUCUGGACAUCUGGUUAUGUGCACAAAUACAUUUUGAUUUGUCUUAUGCAACUUCAAGUUGGGUGUUCUGUGACUUAUAGCCAAAAGUAACCCAACUGAAGAGAGGAUUCAUGAAUAUGUGAGGCACUUUGAGGUGACCAAGGAGAGAACAUUGUGGGAAAAGACUGGCAAAGGUGACAGUGUCUGCUGGGAGAUAAUGGACAUUUAUUAUUGUGUCCAAGAUGUCAUACUAACAAACUAUGCACUUCACAUAUGCUAUCCUAUUUUUCACAAGAAACUAAGAUCUACUGUAUAUCAUAAAUUUGCUAAUGAGCUUAUUCUCAUAUCUUCAUUUCCCUGAAGUUGAGACGUGUCUUACAAGCCAUGACCUCUUAUCAUUGCUGUUGGCAUGGCAGGAGCAGUAACUGGGGAAUUACCUGAUGCUGUUGCUCGUGAUCACAAAUGUUCACAUAUGUAUUUAUGUUUUGUGGUACACAGGAUUGGACCCAAACUAGGCAAGUGCUCUGCCUCCUUGCUGUAUACUCAACUCUUGUUCAUAUUUUCAAUAUUUCAGUUGAAUUGUGAACAUCAUUGAUACUGCAUAUGAUGGGUUAUUCAUUGGUUAUACUGUCUUUAUAGUUCUUGUCUGAAACCUGUUGGCACCUGCAGAAUGAGGUGUUAAAGGGGUGGAAGAAAGUCUCUCAGACGGGGCAGUGUGUUAGGCAGGGCAUGCAUGGUGUGUCACCAAUCCUAUCAAUGGAAGAGAGGGCAGUUUUGUAUGGGAAAAUGUAAGCAUUGUGUCCUCAUCUGAUAGGGGGUUUUUUUGUUAUCUUUUAAGGUACAUGAUAUAUGUUUUAAUCAAGAGCACCUUGGAUUAAAUGAAAUGCAGAAUUAUUACUCCUAUUUUAUAAAUGAAGAAUCUGAAGCACAAUAGUAUGGAUUAACUUUCCUCAAACCCCACAGAUAGAAAUGGCAGAGCCAGGACUUAAUCAUGAACUGUAUGAUUUCAGAGUCUGUAUAACUAAUUAAUCAUUGUAAUAUAUUUUUUUCUCAGGAUAGGCGCAUUGGAGGUUAUCACAGCCUGAUUCAUUUAUCCCAUUACUCAGUAUUCAUUGAGUACGUACUAUGUCCCUGAUAUUGGCAUAUACUUGGGGACAGGGUUGAGCAAGAAUUUGGAGCUACCAUUAUGGCAUUAUGGGUUGUAUCUCUUAUUAAGGAAAUAUGUCUUAAUAAAAUAUUUCAGUAAUGA